rnacentral:rRNA from 1 species
CACCGCCCGUCACACCAUGGGAGUUGAUUGCUCCAGAAGUACCUAAGCUAACCGCAAGGAUGCAGGGUCCCAAGGAGUGGUCGAUGACUGGGGUG